rnacentral:rRNA from 1 species
GGUAAUACGUAGGGUGCAAGCGUUAAUCGGAAUUACUGGGCGUAAAGCGUGUGUAGGCGGUUCGGAAAGAAAGAUGUGAAAUCCCAGGGCUUAACCUUGGAACUGCAUUUUUAACUGCCGAGCUAGAGUAUGUCAGAGGGGGGUAGAAUUCCACGUGUAGCAGUGAAAUGCGUAGAUAUGUGGAGGAAUACCGAUGGCGAAGGCAGCCCCCUGGGAUAAUACUGACGCUCAGACACGAAAGCGUGGGGAGCAAACAGGAUUAGAUACCCUGGUAGUCCACGCCCUAAACGAUGUCAACUAGCUGUUGGGGCCGUUAGGCCUUAGUAGCGCAGCUAACGCGUGAAGUUGACCGCCUGGGGAGUACGGUCGCAAGAUUAAAACUCAAAGGAAUUGACGGGGACCCGCACAAGCGGUGGAUGAUGUGGAUUAAUUCGAUGCAACGCGAAAAACCUUACCUACCCUUGACAUGUCUGGAAUCCCGAAGAGAUUUGGGAGUGCUCGCAAGAGAACCGGAACACAGGUGCUGCAUGGCUGUCGUCAGCUCGUGUCGUGAGAUGUUGGGUUAAGUCCCGCAACGAGCGCAACCCUUGUCAUUAGUUGCUACGCAAGAGCACUCUAAUGAGACUGCCGGUGACAAACCGGAGGAAGGUGGGGAUGACGUCAAGUCCUCAUGGCCCUUAUGGGUAGGGCUUCACACGUCAUACAAUGGUCGGGACAGAGGGUCGCCAACCCGCGAGGGGGAGCCAAUCUCAGAAACCCGAUCGUAGUCCGGAUCGCAGUCUGCAACUCGACUGCGUGAAGUCGGAAUCGCUAGUAAUCGCGGAUCAGAAUGUCGCGGUGAAUACGUUCCCGGGUCUUGUACACACCGCCCGUCACACCAUGGGAGUGGGUUUCACCAGAAGUAGGUAGCCUAACCGUAAGGAGGGCGCUACCACGGUG